rnacentral:rRNA from 1 species
AUGGCUACUAGCACCAAGCUUGUAGCUCUUGGCUUUGUUGUCCUUGUGAGCAUUGGGUUUGCCGAUGCUGCAAGGAUGCUCGCUAGCUCCUCCAGUGCUUCAGGUGGUGGAGGUGGCGGGGGAGGCGGAGGUGGUGGCGGUGGGUCUGGUGAGAGUGGAUGGGGUGGAGGGUCUGGAUCAGGUGGAGGCUCGGGAUAUAGUGAAAGCGGUGGGGAUUGGGGUAACAAGUGGAACUUCGCCAGGGGAGCUGGUGGAGGAGGAGGAGCUGGUGGUGGCGGAGGAUCAAAUGGUGGAUACGGGUCUGGCUUUGGAUCCGGCUAUGGCACCGGCAGUGCUGUGAGUGGCUCCGCAUCAGCCCCUAGUAGCAAUGGAUAUGCCAAUGCUGAUGGUAAGGGUGGGGGUGGGGGCGGAGGUGGCGGUGCAGAUGGGUCAACCGGAUCCGGAGCUGGCUCUGGCCUUGGCAAGGGAUAUGGUGAGAGUGGCAUAUCAAAGGCACCCGCUCCUGCUGCUGGUGGUGAUGGUACCAGCUACUCUGAUGCUGGUGGUAGUGGUAACGGUGGUGGUGGCGGUAACAAUGGAAAUGGAGGUGGUGCCGGUGCUGGUGCGGGACAGGCCGGCAAUGAUGACACUUCUGGGGGCUUUGCGAAUGGAGGAGGAAGCGGCAAUGGUGGUGGCGCAACCGGAGGUGGCGCCGAAGGUCCAAGCGUUGGAGUUGGGUCUGGCGUUGGGUCUGGCACGGGACAAACCGGUAGUACUGGCUCAAAUGGCACAGGCUACGCCACCGGCAUGGGUGGCGGCAUGGGUGGCGGCAAUGGUGGUAGCACUAAUGGAGGAACCGGUAGCGGUGGAGGAAGUGGAUCCGGAUCUGGUGGGGGCGGUUACCAUUAA